AGAGUUUGAUCAUGGCUCAGAACGAACGCUGGCGGCGUGGAUUAGGCAUGCAAGUCGGACGAGAAAGGGUUCGCAAGAAUCCGAGUAAAGUGGCGAAAGGGUGAGUAGUACCUAGGUAACCUACCCUUGAGACGGGAAUAACGUUCGGAAACGGACGCUAAUACCCGGUACGUCGGAGGGAUCGCCUGAUUCUUCCGGGAAAGGUAGCCUCUAUUUAUAAGCUUCCGCUCAAGGAGGGGCCUCGGGCCUAUCAGCUAGUUGGCGGGGUGACGGCCCACCAAGGCAGGGACGGGUAGCCGGUCUGAGAGGAUGGUCGGCCACACUGGGACUGAGACACUGCCCAGACUCCUACGGGAGGCUGCAGUCGAGGAUCUUCUGCAAUGGGCGCAAGCCUGACAGAGCGACGCCGCGUGGGGGAGGAAGGCCCUCGGGUUGUAAACCCCUGUUGCCGGUUAAGAAAGUCGGGGUGCGAAUAGCGCUUCCGAUUGACAAAGGCCGGUGAGGAAGCCACGGCUAACUACGUGCCAGCAGCCGCGGUAAAACGUAGGUGGCAAGCGUUGUUCGGAAUCACUGGGCAUAAAGCGCGCGUAGGCGGCUGGGUAAGUCGGGUGUGAAAGCCCUCGGCUCAACCGAGGAACUGCGCCCGAUACUGCCCGGCUUGAGGUCCGGANGGGAGAGUGNNAUUCCCGGUGNAGCGGUGAAAUGCGUAGAGAUCGGGAAGAACGCCGGCGGCNAAAGCGACUCUNUGGACGGACCCUGACGCUNAGGNNCGAANGCUAGGGGAGCAAACGGGAUUANAU
rnacentral:rRNA from 1 species